rnacentral:rRNA from 1 species
UACGGAGGGUGCUAGCGUUGUUCGGAAUCACUGGGCGUAAAGGGCGUGUAGGCGGUCUGUUAAGUCUGAUGUGAAAUCCCCUCGCUCAACGAGGGAACUGCGUCGGAUACUGGCAGACUCGAGUACCGGAGAGGAAGGUGGAAUUCCCGGUGUAGCGGUGAAAUGCGUAGAUAUCGGGAGGAGCACCGGUGGCGAAGGCGGCCUUCUGGACGGAUACUGACGCUGAGACGCGAAAGCGUGGGGAGCAAACAGG